rnacentral:sRNA from 1 species
CAUCGUGUAUAGAACUUCUAUGAUAUCUCGUAUAGAGCUUCUAUGUAUAGGUUCAUCAUUUGAAGGCUAGCGCUGUCCGAAUAGUUAAGCGUGUUGAUUCGGGGCAGUUCUUCUUUGGCAUCUAUCAUAUUAGUAUUUACUGUACAGUGCAAUUAAUCAGGUCCAGCCGCCCUUGGUCAUAUCCAUGGAUACGUCUUUCAGGCCUGCAAUAUAAUAUAUAAUACAAGUUCCCUCUUCGCAAGCACGUCAUGGCUGCUUCGACUUUUCAGCAUAUAUAGUAGUUUCUUCUUCCUCUUAUCCUUCUGCAACAAUAUGAAUUCCACUUUCUUCCCUUUCUCGAAAUAGCUCUCCACCAUUUUCAUUCGAUGUGUGAGGUCAUGGCCAUCAAUACCCCAGUUCAACUCGACCUGCUUUAGCGAAUGGCUGGGGUCCUUGGGCGCUUUCGAUUUCGCCUGUAGUUUUUGCUGCAAUUGUCCCUUGCUUGUGAUUUUACAAAUAGCGGGGCGUUCGGCGGUUUCGGGAGCAACCUGGAGAAGAACGUUUACGUAGCGAUCAAAGGUGUGUAAUGCAGCACCUAACGGUAUUGGGUCGCCAAGUGAUCCGUCCUCGUUCACUAUCUGUACCCUCCGUGCAGGAAUCGCCUCGUCCUUUAUGAGGCCAUUGUGGUCCUUACCGUCUUUGGCAUCCUUCUGUGGCCCAUAUGUCCGCUGGAGAUUUGCUGGGCGGGGUUGCGGUCGGCGUAUCGUCUGGGGUUCCGCGCGGGGAGCCAAAGGCUGGUGCUGUCGAAUGGGUUGGAAGCGAUAACAUCUUGUCUGUUGCUCAGCGAACCGGAUGCCUUGGGAAUCUGCUGAUGGUAGGCAUAUUUGGCGGAGCGCUUGCGUGGUUCUGACGAGGCUGCGGGCACGAUUCGCGGUUGCUGCCAUGACUUGUAAGAUGCUACAUGUAUCUAUUAUAGAAAAAGUUGGGCGAAGGCGACUUCGAGCCUGUAGCAUAAGUUAAUAGUUAUCAGUACACGGGCCACAAGGAACGCAAAACUGACAAAACACCAGCCUACCUUGCAGAGCUGCUAGAUACUCCAAAGCAAAAGGUGUUUAAAUAAUGCCAGAAGCUGA